rnacentral:rRNA from 1 species
GUGGGGAAUAUUGCGCAAUGGGGGAAACCCUGACGCAGCGACGCCGUGUGAGGGAAGAAGGCCUUCGGGUCGUAAACCUCUGUCAGAAGGGAAGAACCGCCGGGGGAUGAAUAAGCCCUCGGCCUGACGGUACCUUCAGAGGAAGCGCCGGCUAACUCCGUGCCAGCAGCCGCGGUAAUACGGAGGGCGCAAGCGUUAAUCGGAAUUACUGGGCGUAAAGCGUGCGUAGGCUGUUUGGUAAGUCAGGCGUGAAAGCCCUCGGCUCAACCGGGGAACGGCGUUUGAUACUGCCGGACUCGAGUCGCGGAGAGGGUGGCGGAAUUCCUGGUGUAGGAGUGAAAUCCGUAGAUAUCAGGAGGAACACCGGUGGCGAAGGCGGCCACCUGGACGGGUACUGACGCUGAGGCACGAAAGCGUGGGGAGCAAACAGGAUUAGAAACCCUUGUAGUCC